CUUAAAGACAUUCUUUAUUCAAUCUUUUUAUAUACAAUAUUAUUUUUUAAUCUGUAAAAAGUACAUAUGCAGGAUUCCAGGUCAGAGGCAGAAGGUUUCCACAUCAGAAGAUAGACUUUUGCCCUUUUAUUAUUUUGGAGGAAAAAAAAAUCUGUCAGUUUUAGACAAAGCAAGAAUAAAGGCAGAAUGCAAAUCCAACUUCCACCAAGCAAUUAGGAUUAAAGGCAACAAUUCACUGUAACAGGUCAGGCUGUCUCCUCUGACUUUGGUGGUUCCCAACUUUCCUGGGCAAUUACAGAGCAGUUUGUUAGAAGGCGCUGACAGCUGAAGCAGUUCCUGCUUAAUAUCUCUGCUACAGCUUGCACACAACUUGCAAAAGAGCCUGGGCUUCCUCUGUGUAUGGCAACUCAAACUCUUGAGUCAGAAGACUUUUCUCAAGAUUCAAGGAGUGAAAGAGGGAUGUCUUACUCAAGGUGAACGGAUCUCCCAACUACAGUAUGGAUCAAGAGCUUGCUUUCAUUUUUCUCUGGCAUCAAGAAGUCUGUUUCUUAUUUGUCCCCUUAUAAACAUGGUCUAGGCUUAGUAGUGUGAAUACCAACAGGGCUUUGCUGAGGGGGUGCACCUCUAACCUUAAAGGAUGGCAUUACAGGGAGUGUGUAAUUAAUGUCACCUUUCAGAACCCAGGCAAUAUUUAAAUCUUGUAAAAUACUGUGAGGGAAUGUGUCAGUGUUUGGGAGCUAGAACACAGAACAGCAAAGGUGUGACUGGCACAUGGAACUACUUGCUCUUCCUUCUACUCCAGGGCACUUGCUAUUUUCUACACUUUCCUUGAACAUUCAGUUUGAAGGACUAUAUUGUGCAACAAAAUUAACACUCAGAAUAUCCUUCAAGGGUGCUUUUUAUUUAGAGGACAAUGCUAAGAAUUUGACUUCUUGACUGCGGGACAUGCACAGCUCCAGGGUUGUUAAUGGAAGCUGCAGAAAUCUGGCCUCUUUGAAAAGUCAAGCUCUAAUUGCUAGAAAAAAAUUACUGUUGGCAGAUCCUGACCAACAGGCAAGUUUGAGGCUUGGAUUAGGAA